UAUUCUGGUGUCCCAGGCGUAGAGGAACCACACCAAUCCAUCCCGAACUUGGUGGUUAAACUCUACUGCGGUGACGAUACUGCAGGGGAGGCCCUGCGGCAAAAUAGCUGACGCCAGGAUA
rnacentral:rRNA from 1 species